rnacentral:sRNA from 1 species
GAUACCAGGGUUCCAAAGUCUUAUACCCACUUGAGCUUGCUCAAGAGUGGGUAUAAGACCUUGGAACCCGCCCAAAUAUUCGCAUAAAAGUGGGACGACAGUCCCACGAUAUGCGAAUAUUUGAUAGGAUUGCGGGAGCAGGUACUGCGAAGCAAUCCGUAGGUAU